rnacentral:SRP_RNA from 1 species
GCCGGGCAUGGUGGCGCGUGCCUGUAGUCCCAGCUACUCGGGAGGCUGAGGUGGAAGAAUCACUUGAACCCAGGAGGUGGAGGUUGCAGUGAGCCGAGAUGGUGCCACUGCACUCUAGCCUGGGUGACAGAGCAAGACUCCGUCUCCA